GUGGGGAAUCUUCCGCAAUGGACGAAAGUCUGACGGAGCAACGCCGCGUGAGUGAUGAAGGUCUUCGGAUUGUAAAACUCUGUUGUCAGGGACGAAUGUGCGAACGUUGAAUAAGCGUUUGUAUUGACGGUACCUGACGAGGAAGCCACGGCUAACUACGUGCCAGCAGCCGCGGUAAUACGUAGGUGGCAAGCGUUGUCCGGAAUUAUUGGGCGUAAAGAGCAUGUAGGCGGGCUUUUAAGUCCGACGUGAAAAUGCGGGGCUUAACCCCGUAUGGCGUUGGAUACUGGAAGUCUUGAGUGCAGGAGAGGAAAGGGGAAUUCCCAGUGUAGCGGUGAAAUGCGCAGAUAUUGGGAGGAACACCAGUGGCGAAGGCGCCUUUCUGGACUGUGUCUGACGCUGAGAUGCGAAAGCCAGGGUAGCAAACGGGAUUAGAAACCCCUGUAGUCC
rnacentral:rRNA from 1 species